UACAGAGGGUGCGAGCGUUGUUCGGAAUUAUUGGGCGUAAAGGGCGCGUAGGCGGUGCGGUAAGUCACCUGUGAAAUCUCCUGGCUCAAUGUGGCUUGCAGGCGAAACUGCCGUGCUGGAGUGUGGGAGAGGUGCGUGGAAUUCCCGGUGUAGCGGUGAAAUGCGUAGAUAUCGGGGAGGAACACCUGUGGCGAAAAGCGGCGCACUGGACCACAACUGACGCUGAGGCGCGAAAGCUAGGGGGAG
rnacentral:rRNA from 1 species